AUUCACUGGAUCAUCUCAUCUCUGGCUAAUUGGUCACGGCAGGGUCUGGCACUCAGUGAGCUGGUCCUUUAAAGGGAGCUCAAGCCCAGCUUACACCUCUGCUUCACUCCCUCCCAGACCAUGGGACUUGUAGUCUAUAGAGCAUGUGACUAAGAGUGAGCAAGGCCUGCUGGGAAGGCGGAAACAGCAUAUAAAGGGAGAGAGCGCUGAAAAGAGUCAUGGGCUAGAGGGGGGAGCCCGCUAGGGCUGGGUCUGGUCUGGUCUGCCAGCCAGCCAGCCAGCCAGCAGGCCAGGCCAGGCCACUGGGUCAGUAGGGCAAUCCUGAGUUGAGGGUAGACUGCUUGAGCAGUCUUGGGGCUAAAUCCUGGAGCAUGGGCCCCUUGGAGGUGUAGAAAGCCCUAUGCUGAGGGUGCUAAGCCCAGGGAUGGGAGAGGAUGACCAUAUGGACUGUGUUCCUCCUCUGAGCGAGAGGGAGCUACAGCACUGAGAGGGGAAAGACUCAUCCAGGGCAAAGGAACUGUGAAAACUUCUGUGACCAAAGCGGAGGCCUGAGCCCAGGGAGGGCAAAAGGAACUGAAAGCCUGUGAGCAGGGGAGAGGGCUGCUUUCUGUCUCUCCUGGAAGGAGAGGACUUCUGCCUUGGCCAGAGGACUCAAUCAGACUGGGGAAGACCAUCUCCUGAGGAGGGGAAACUGAGGCACAGUGAGGCAACUGAACCAAUAUCUGCAUGUCUGGUGUUGGAGGUGAAUUUUCAAGACUCCAAUUCGUACCGAGUGUCUGUGGUGUUGGGAAGAUGAAAUUACCUCAGAAAUCCUGAUAGCAGCAGCUCAACUUCUUUGUGAGACCUCAGGUACUUUUCAUUGGCAAUGCGAGCGUUAAUCUGGGAGCAGAAGCACAACAGCAAAGGUAUGUUGAAGGGCUGCAGCACUGAACUGGCAGUAACCCUGUUUCGUUAGUCCAACGGUGCUUUGCUAAAGCUGCAGUGGUACAUAGCAUUUACGUAGCCCUCUGCCUCUCCAAAGUGCUAUGCAGAUGCUAGGUAAUCCUCACAAUUCCCCCCCGUGAGGGAUGAUCCUGUAAAUCAAUAUUAUGUGUGCCCAUUACAUUGAUGGAGAAACUGAGGCACAGAAAGCUUCCCCUCUUCCACUAGACAUGAGUGGUAGAGCCAGGAAUAGAAGCCAGGAAUCCUGAUAGACAUUCUGAGGGUGACCGAGAGGUCCAGAAAGGGGGAGUUCAAGCAGCUCAGGAGCAGAACUGGGCAUAAAACCCAACUUUUCUGAUUUUGCAGUCUAUGCUCUAAUAAACGUAUUAGAUUUUAUUCACUGACAUCGUUCUAGAUCUAAGGUUUAAUCUAAAUCAGGCCCUGGGGAAGCUGAAUGAGUAAUUAUCACCUUGAUGAGAAUAUUCUCCGUAAAUUGGAGGAAUGACUGAAACUGAUCAAACAUCUUUUGAAAUCCUAAAUACAUUGACUGUGGAGAUGGCAAAACGGAGAAGCUACAGUUUAUGUGCCAAGGAGAAAUGUUCACUGACUGGGUAGGGUCAAAGCACUUCAGCAGGAUUUUCUGGUUGUUUAUCAGUAAAUUGGAUUGCCAGCCCUCCAGCUCAUAGCUUUAAAUCCAGGAAUCUGUGAUCUAUCCUUGAGACCAUUCCAGCUCAAUUUAACUAGAGCUGUACAGAUAAUGGGGGUUUUCACUUGGCUGGCAACUCCAAAAAAAUCAGAAAAUGUUUAUUUUGGGUCGAACUGAAAAUGAGCUUUUUUUCAAAACUUUUGGCAUUUCAAAGAGAAAAAUAUUUUGAGUCCAAUGAAAUGUUUCUUUCAAGUCUAAAUGAAACAUUUUGAUUUUAUUUUUUUGAGCAUUCUAAAACACUUUUGAUUAUUAAGAGAAUUAAAGGAAACUUGGGGGAGGGGAGUUGUUUUGAACUAAAAAAUAGUUUAGUUUUAAAAAUAUACAACACACAAUAAACAAAAAAAUAGUUUUGGACACUUUUUAAGGGUUUUUUUGUGUUUGACUAAAACAAUUCAGCAAACCCGACAGCAAUUCACAACACAUUUCAGUGUUGCUGAAUCUGCAUUUUUUGGCCAAAAAAAAGUUUCUUGGGAAACCUAGAUGCUGGGACUGGACAUCAAGGGCUGGGUCGCUCGAUAAUUACCCUGUUCGCUUUAUUCCCUUUGAAGCAUCUUGCACUGGCCACGUACAACUGGUCGGACCCAGUCUGGCCGAUCUUAUUUAGAGCACAGUGAAAAGUGUCACUUUUGGGUGACAAUUCCAGGAGUGAAACCAGGACUCGAUCAGACUCUGUGUCUCGCUCCCCAUGCCUUGCCCAGGACCCCAAUGUCUUGCCAAUAGCCCGAAUACGAUCAAGACAGCCCCUAAAACAGCUUAAACAAAACGAUCAGACGUGAGCCCCCAGCACUCCCAAAGACCCCAGGGUGCAGCCCUGGGCUGGUCCUGAGAUCCCUGCUGCUGGCCUGGAGGAGACGCCGACCUGCUCUGUGUUUUCGGCUCUUGGGAUGCAGUUUCUGCUGCCCAGCGUGGGAGCAUCCUGGCAGGGGAAGGGGGGGCGGACAACUUCCAUUCUCUUGGUUUCUUUAUACUUCAGCUUAAUUAGAACAAUUAAAGCAGAGUCCAAACAGAGCUCCUCGGGGACCUGCCGGCGCUCUGUCAGGGUAUCCAACUGGGGGAGGCGUUCGUCAAGUACCUGAGUGUCUGCUGAGUUGCUCUGGAUCCGGAGAGAUGCGACCAGUGCACAGGCUUGGACGUGCUUUUCUCAUCCUCUUCGCAUUCCUUCCCUGCUCCCCUUCCAGUCCUCUGCUCCCCCUGGGCACCUACCUCCCCUACUCUCCUCCCCCACUACGCCAGAUCUUCCACCCGCCGGGUGCCCGCGUCCCACCGGCAUGCUGGUCCUAGCAGCAGAGAGGCCCUGGACUGACGGGAGCACAGAGACUGAGCCGCCCCAGCAGGGGGCGCUCUGAGGCACUGCGGGGCCUCUGGGAAACUGAAGCCCAGGAUCAUUUUGCUGACUUUUCUGGGAGCGGGGUCCAGCCUUGGCUAUCCGAGGAUGCCAGCUCUUGCUCUGACUCCAGCCAGAGCCCCAUGGAUCCUGCCCUCGAGGCGGCAGGACUGGGCAUCCAGAGGACCAGGGAGGAGGCUGUGGAAGGGAGCAGAGAGCUGCAGAGGGCAAGGGGUAGAUGGAAAUCCCAAUGUCAUGCCCUGCUAGGCAGUAGCCCCAAGGCCAGGGGGUCUGCUAGCUGCUAAGGGUGAGCACCCCUCAUAAGGCCCAUGGGGCUCUGUGAUCUCAUGGGCCAAGCCCUGUGCUCUGGCCACGUGGCUGGACUGCCUGGGACUCGAUCCACCGGCCCAGGGAGGACAAAGCGCUCUGGGGUUCUUCGUACGGGACGCUUGGCUCCCUCUUGCCUGGUGGCAUUUCACUCUCCUUUCUCCGGCUCUCGAGUGGGGGCAGGGAGGAAGAGCGGGGCGCAGAUCGCUGUGCAGGGACAACGCCGUGCUGUCGGCACUGACUGCAGGGGGCUCCCAGCUGCACCCGCCCUCACUGGGGAUCAGCAGCCGGGAGCGUGGAGCAGCAGCUGCUGAGGGCACCUGAGGUCAGGGAACGGGGACAGAAGAUCCUACAGACUUGCUCUCCCCUGGGCUUAGUGAGGCAAUCCCUGGGCUGGCAUCGCUCCACCAGAGGCAGUGUGGUCCAGCAGCUAAGGGCUGGGCCUGGGAAUCAGGGAACCUUGGGCAAGUCACUUCCCCUCCCCGUGCCUCAGUUUACCCCCUCCUUGUCUGAUUAGACCCAUCUUCUAACCCCGAGACCACACUGCCUCCCACAGCAAGAAAUAGAACCCAGGAGUCCUGGCUCCCAGCCCCCUCCCCCACACACUCUAACCAUUAAACCUUGUUCCCUCCUAACCAUCAGCUCUG